AUACGUAGGUGACAAGCGUUAUCCGGAUUUACUGGGCGUAAAGGGCGUGUAGGCGGUCUUGCAAGUCAGAAGUGAAAUUCCUGAGCUCAACUCGGGCGCUGCUUCUGAAACUGCAGGACUUGAGUGCUGGAGGGGAUAGCGGAAUUCCUAGUGGAGCGGUAAAAUGCGCAGAUAUUAGGAAGAACACCGGUGGCGAAGGCGGCUAUCUGGACAGUAACUGACGCUGAGGCGCGAAAGCGUGGGGAGCAAACAGGAUUAGAUACCCUGGUAGUCCACGCCAUAAACGAUGAAUACUAGGUGUAGGGGGUAUCGACUCCCUCUGUGCCGCAGUUAACACAAUAAGUAUUCCGCCUGGGGAGUACGGCCGCAAGGUUGAAACUUAAAGGAAUUGACGGGG
rnacentral:rRNA from 1 species